rnacentral:rRNA from 1 species
UAGGGAAUCUUCCACAAUGGACGCAAGUCUGAUGGAGCAACGCCGCGUGAGUGAAGAAGGUUUUCGGAUCGUAAAGCUCUGUUGUUGGUGAAGAAGGAUAGAGGCAGUAACUGGUCUUUAUUUGACGGUAAUCAACCAGAAAGUCACGGCUAACUACGUGCCAGCCGCGGUAAUACGUAGGUGGCAAGCGUUGUCCGGAUUUAUUGGGCGUAAAGCGAGCGCAGGCGGAAUGAUAAGUCUGAUGUGAAAGCCCACGGCUCAACCGUGGAACUGCAUCGGAAACUGUCAUUCUUGAGUGCAGAAGAGGAGAGUGGAAUUCCAUGUGUAGCGGUGGAAUGCGUAGAUAUAUGGAAGAACACCAGUGGCGAAGGCGGCUCUCUGGUCUGCAACUGACGCUGAGGCUCGAAAGCAUGGGUAGCGAACAGG